CACAGAGCAAGUUAAAGCCAUAACCAUGCUUGUUUUACUGCUGAUCGCAUCAAUGUUUCGGCAAGGUCUUACAGUAGUGGGCUACGGAGACAACUUUAUCACUGCCUUUCCAGAGAACAUUGGUUUCUUCUAUACGUCUAAUACCAAUAACCGUCUAAGAGUCACAGCCCUGCAUGACAACACUUCAUUAAAAGUCUUCUACAAAACCACACAGAAAGACUUACAAAUUCCAAAGUCAGGACAGACCAUGAUUAUUUUGUUUCCAAAGUCCGCUGAAGUAAAUGAACUAGGCCCCUCGAUUUUAUCUGUCAGAAUUACCAGUGACAAAAACAUCACAGUGGUUUCUAUAAGUCACCAGGCAGGCAGCACCCAGUCCUAUGUCGUCCAGCCAACUGUAAAUCUUGGCACAAACUAUUUGAUCCCUUUGCUGGAUUACCCAGGGUAUCUUGAAUCUUUUAACCUAACUAGGCUUGUCAGUACAACCAUAAGAUACAGCUCAUUCAAGUUACUCAUUAUCAAUGCGGUGGACAGUCAAAACAGCGUCACUAUAGUCAAGCAAACAUCAGCAUCAGGUGUUCGUGAAGAGACGUUCAGUAUCAAUUCCUACCAACUGGUCCAGCUUCAGACCAAUGGUUCUAUUUUGAGGGUCAAAUCGAGCAAAGAAGUCGCUGUGAUAUUGACCCACCCGUGUGUAGAGACUGAGAACUGUAAAUGUAACAUGGUAAUGAAUCAGAUUCUUCCCACAAAGUUUCAGGGUCGGAGCUUUAUCGUACCUUCCAUCUUCAAAGUGUCCAAGACCAAGCUACUUAUGCUAUCAGAAAACACAUCCACGCUAUUCCACGAUGGUAACCAGUUACAGGCUUCUCCCUCGACGCUUCUGCCAUUUUCAGACCCGCAGAAAUCCCAGCUGGUUAAUGCUACGGAGCUAGUGUCCCUCAGACUUUUCAGUCCAGGUCUCAUUGUGGAGCUGAUCCCAGAAAACAUGUUCUUUGCUUGCUACCUGCUGCAGUUUGCUGAAAUAAAUGGCAAGGCUUUGGUGAUCGCUGAAACAGACAGCAAAGAUGACGUGCGCAUACAUGGAGGUUUGCUCUCAGCAUCUAACUGGACUGCAAUCACUGGCACAAACUACUCUUCAACUGUUGUAACUAUACCUUAUAAAAUGUCCACAAUCUGGCAUCCAACAUCAAGGAUUGCUGUUUAUAUGCUGGAUUAUAUAUCUGAAAAAGUAAUAUUUGGAGGCCCAGCUGUACCAAUCAAUAAAAAACCAGUUUUCAGUGGUGCACGACCCUGGCUGGUGGAAGGCAAAAGGUAAAAAUCUCUUCAUUUGUUCAUGCAUCCAGAUCUUCAUGGCUGUGUGUUGGUUCCCGGAGCAUUUGCGAUUGGACGGGACCCCCUGACUUGGAAGAAGUCUCGCGAGUACUGCAUGAAUAAUCAAAAUCAGUUUGCCUGUCCUAUAACUGAAUCUGUCCAUAAAGAUAUGGCUGAUAACCUGACCAAGGAGGAUGGGGAAGGCUGGAUCGGUCUCCGCCGCAGUUUACUAACUACAGGCUGGUACUGGCAGGAGGAGUAUGAUCCCCCAAUCUCUGUCAAAUACGUUCACUGGGACAAAAAGCAUCCACUGCAUGUUUUGAAGGGCUUAUGCACUUCAGUGUCCCUUGACCCUAAAAAUGAUUUCAAAUGGCGAAGUGCACGGUGCUGUGAUAAAAAGAAGCCUGUCUGCUACAAAAGGCCUGCAUAUCUCAAUCCCUCACAAGAUUUCUUGGUAAUAGAAAUGUAGUUUAGUGCUUGUUGGUAAUGCUAUUCUUUAGGUUCUUUAUUUCCUACUUGUAUCACCGCCUGCAUAUCUGAGAUUUCAAGCAGUUGCAUUGAUAUCAUGAACGUAUGUAGACAUUCUAAACAUUCAGACAGUUGGAUCCGGAAUUAAACUCUGUUUUUUUAACUUAGACAUCAACUCAAAUGGUAGCAGGAAGUAGAUCCUGGAGUUAUGAAUGCCAUAUCAACAAUAAAAUGUAAAUCAUUAAUAAAAUGAACAAAAUAUUACAAUCAACAUACACCUUUAAAGUGUUGUGUAUAACAAAUUAAAAUGAAAGUGAAAGUGAAGUGACAUACAGCCAAGUAUGGUAAGCCCAUACUCAGAAUUUGUGCUCUGCAAUUAUCCCAUCCACACACACAGAUAUAAAGCAUGAGUUGAAUAUGAUUUUUAAAAACAGGCAUGUAGUCCUUAUUUGUGCCUGAAGUAUUUUUUCACCACUGUCUGACAGUAUGGUAACAUCUACUGAUUUUAUGCUCAAAAUAUAAUAUAGUGACUGAUGAAAUAAUGCUACAUAGCAUACAUAUCCCUAAUCAAAGCAUGUAGUGACCAGUUCCUAUAACCUACUUCAUGUACCCAAUUACUGUAACAAAAUCUGUGAAUGUGCUUUUCAUUGUGUGUAAUGGAUCCACUAAUCAGCAGACAUUGUCUCAGGUCUGAUUUGAACUGAAUCUGCAUGAAUUAAAUGUAUUGCUUGUCACUUUUAUGUUCCCUUGUACAUUCUGAUGUUCUGACAAAACCUUCUUUCCUAGAGACAGUGUUGAGUGCUUUUUUUAUAGGUACAAAUUAUGCAAGCUCCUAUGCAAAUUAUUAUAACCAAGCCUGGUAGAUGUGGGUAUUUGUAAAAGCAUGUAUCUAUUUGAAUGCUACUUCACAAUUUUGCAUGUAAAACAACCAUAUGACAUACUGUACAUUCAGGCUACUUGUUGCCAGCAGAUGUGUUUAAAUAGUGAAGCAAAUGUUGGCAAGUCCCAGUAAAAU
ensembl:lncRNA